rnacentral:rRNA from 1 species
AGUAACACGUGGAUAACCUACCUAUAAGACUUGGAUAACUUCGGGAAACUGGAGCUAAUACCGGAUAAUAUUUUGAACCGCAUGGUUCAAAAGUGAAAGACGGUCUUGCUGUCACUUAUAGAUGGAUCCGCGCUGCAUUAGCUAGUUGGUAAGGUAACGGCUUACCAAGGCAACGAUGCAUAGCCGACCUGAGAGGGUGAUCGGCCACACUGGAACUGAGACACGGUCCAG